rnacentral:rRNA from 1 species
AUUGAACGCUGGCGGCAUGCUUUACACAUGCAAGUCGAACGGCAGCGCGGGCUUCGGCCUGGCGGCGAGUGGCGAACGGGUGAGUAAUACAUCGGAACGUGCCCAGUAGUGGGGGAUAGCUCGGCGAAAGCCGGAUUAAUACCGCAUACGACCUGAGGGUGAAAGCGGGGGAUCUUCGGACCUCGCGCUAUUGGAGCGGCCGAUGGCAGAUUAGCUAGUUGGUGGGGUAAAGGCCUACCAAGGCGACGAUCUGUAGCUGGCCUGAGAGGACGACCAGCCACACUGGGACUGAGACACGGCCCAGACUCCUACGGGAGGCAGCGGUGGGGAAUUUUGGACAAUGGGCGAAAGCCUGAUCCAGCAAUGCCGCGUGUGUGAUGAAGGCCUUCGGGUUGUAAAGCACUUUUGGCGGGAACGAAAAGGACUGUGCCAAUACCACGGUUCGAUGACGGUACCCGCAGAAUAAGCACCGGCUAACUACGUG